rnacentral:rRNA from 1 species
ACGCUCGACACCUACGGAGGCAGCAGUGGGGAAUAUUGCACAAUGGGGGAAACCCUGAUGCAGCGACGCCGCGUGAGCGAAGAAGUAUUUCGGUAUGUAAAGCUCUAUCAGCAGGGAAGAAACUGACGGUACCUGACUAAGAAGCACCGGCUAAAUACGUGCCAGCAGCCGGUAGGUAAUCUGAGGCGGGCUGGACAAGGC